rnacentral:misc_RNA from 1 species
UUUCCGUAGGUGAACCUGCGGAAGGAUCAUUAAAUAAUAAAUGCGGUCAUGGGAGCCACCUUUUGGUAAACAUGACUGACUUAUUAUACUGUGAACUGUUAAAAUCUAUCUGGCGUUUGAGGAAAGCUCUUUUGGUUGUAAUAGGCAAACCACUGUUUGAGAUGUUAACCGAGUCAGAGCCACGCUGAGGCGUGUUGCCUAUAAAACUUUAUAAACUAUUGACCAGUAUUUAAAACGUUUAACUUUUUAAGCUUUAUGCUUAAAAAAAAACAACUUUUAACAAUGGAUCUCUAGGCUCUCGCAUCGAUGAAGAACGCAGC